rnacentral:rRNA from 1 species
UGUAAGUUAGCGGCGGACGGGUGAGUAACGCGUGGGUAACCUGCCUUACACUGGGGGAUAACAGUUAGAAAUGACUGCUAAUACCGCAUAAGCGCACAGGGCCGCAUGGUCCGGUGUGAAAAACUCCGGUGGUGUAAGAUGGACCCGCGUCUGAUUAGGUAGUUGGUGGGGUAACGGCCCACCAAGCCGACGAUCAGUAGCCGACCUGAGAGGGUGACCGGCCACAUUGGGACUGAGACACGGCCCAA